CAGGCCCGAGCGAGCGGGAGUGCAAAGUGUGCAAGGGCACAGGGCCCAAAUUUUUUGGGGGCCCCAUGUUUUGAGAGCGAACCAGCGAGGCCAACCGCCGACGCGAUCGAGUCCACCAACCACCGAUUCGAUCGACAGAUGGACAAACUGCGUGUCUGGCCCGACUCCCUAGAUGAAGCGGAAGCCAAGCGACGGAGGUAGUUCGUCAAUCGUCAUCGACUCAUCCUCUACCUUCCGUGGUGCCAUGGCGGCAGUUCUGCUUCUGCUUCUGCACUGCCAUUGCCCCUCUGAGUCCCUCUCCCUCCUGAUCGAUCUUGCGAUCAAGCACAGCAGGAGUCAACAUGGAAAAGCUCGAAUCCGAUUUUCAGAAGCAUAAGAAAAAGGAAAAAAAAAGGGAGAAAAAUUGAUUCAAUCUCAAAGAGAGGCAAUUGACAAGUUUGUUAAAAAGAAACGAAAAGCAUCCUCCGAUAAUCAGUUAGUUGAAGUUGGCUUCGACCAUUGCACUUGAGAGUGAAGUGUUGGAGAAGAUUUAUUAUGACGAUAUUAUUGAAGAUUUUUCAAAGAACCCUGAAAGAAUGAAGUUGUUCAAAAAAAAUGCAACCGGAAGUUUAAUAGGU